rnacentral:rRNA from 1 species
AUACGUAGGUGGCUAACGUUAUCCGGAUUUAUUGGGCGUAAAGAGGGCGCGGGUGGCGCUCCAAGUCGGGUGUGAAAUAUCCUGACUCAAUCAGGAUAGGUCGUCCGAUACUGGAGUGCUAGAGGGCAGCAGAGGGAGAUGGAAUCCCCGGUGUAGUGGUGAUAUGCGUAGAUAUCGGGAGGAGCACCAGUGGCGAAGGCGGUCUCCUGGGCUGUUCCUGACGCUGAGGCCCGAAAGCGUGGGUAGCAAACCGGAUUAGAUACCCGGGUAGUCCACGCCCUAAACGGUGGAUACUAGGUAUGGGGGGUAUCGACCCUCUCCGUGCCGCAGCUAACGCUUUAAGUAUCCCGCCUGGGGACUACGGUCGCAAGACUAAA